CCUACGGGGGGCAGCAGUGGGGAAUAUUGGACAAUGGGGGGAACCCUGAUCCAGCCAUGCCGCGUGUGUGAAGAAGGCCCUCGGGUUGUAAAGCACUUUCAGUGAGGAAGAACGCCUGGUGGUUAAUACCCAUCAGGAAAGACAUCACUCACAGAAGAAGCACCGGCUAACUCCGUGCCAGCAGCCGCGGUAAUACGGAGGGUGCGAGCGUUAAUCGGAAUUACUGGGCGUAAAGCGCGCGUAGGUGGCUUGAUAAGCCGGUUGUGAAAGCCCCGGGCUCAACCUGGGAACGGCAUCCGGAACUGUCAAGCUAGAGUGCAGGAGAGGAAGGUAGAAUUCCCGGUGUAGCGGUGAAAUGCGUAGAGAUCGGGAGGAAUACCAGUGGCGAAGGCGGCCUUCUGGACUGACACUGACACUGAGGUGCGAAAGCGUGGGUAGCAAACAGGAUUUAGAUACCCGAGUAGUC
rnacentral:rRNA from 1 species